rfam:Eutrema salsugineum unplaced genomic scaffold scaffold_25, whole genome shotgun sequence.
AAGCCGUGGUGUGGACAUUGGUUAGUGUAGCUUCUAAACCGCUCCCAAGCCCCACCGAAACUUUCAUUUGUGUGUUGCGUGAAGCUUGAGAUCUGAUUUCUGAGCUU